GUUGUCGGCGGUCCCUCCUUUCUUCCGAGGGACUACUCCUAUCAAUGUAUAUAAAUUGCAUUAUUUAUAGUCGUCGAAACUCUUACUGUUACAAAUUCUAGUUUACAAAGAGAGUGCUCAAAUAUCCUGAAGAUGAGGCAAAUGAGGCUGAAGAUGCCAGGUGCGAAGAUUGUAACAUGAUGUACUGCGUACGAGACUAUUGCGCAAAUGAUCUCGGGAUCUGAUUUGGCAUGAUGUGUUUAUUAUAAUCUGAUUUGGCAUGUGUUUAUUCAUGUAUUUUCACUUGGUUAUCAAUAUGUCAUGUCAAACACCCUAACGCUAAGAGAUUCAUGUGCAAGGACAUGGUUGUCCUUUGCAAACUGUUGAAAAAGGGUUGUCCUUUGCAAACCUUAAACUCUAAACCUUAACUCUAAUCGUGCAAAGCAUAAUGGGAGCAUCAUUUAAUCAGUUUAGAAAUCAUAUAUAGGGCCCAUUUCUUAGAGACAUGGUAAAUAUCUCCUUGAGAACAAUUCAUUCACAAGUAGCUGCAAUAUUCAACUACCAACCUGAAACUCCGAUUAAGCUUUGCGCGCUUGGAGUUUAAGGUUUGCAAAGGACAAUCCGGCUCAACCUCGUACCAAGGGCGAAGGUAAUACACUGGGUACGAGGUUGAAUGAAUUGGCUGUAUAACUUUUGAAUGAAUUGGCUGUAUAACCGAAAAUACUAGUUAGUUGUGAGUAAGCUUGAAUACAGGAAAAGUUGAAAACUAAAGACUGUGGGCGUUUUCCAUUUAAUGGUCUGACCGGACAGACCCGAAUAUUUGGCUCUGUAUCAAUGGAAACAUCUGGUCUAUGUUUCUCAAAUAAAUUGGCUUCAUUCUAAUUUUAUCUAAAUUUUCCGGUUAGAUAGAUUCGAAGCCCAACCGUUUUGUGUUCAAUUCAACCGUUCUGAUCGAUCUCAUCGUGUUAAUGGAAAGCGCCCUGUGUAAAGCUACAUUUGAACAGUAGUAAAGAUUUUGAGGAAGCCAAACAUUUUAUUUUGCUUUAGUUUAUAUAUGCUUUAGAGAUCGUUUAUAGCCUUACAAACGGCUUUGCUGUAGCCUGCGUAGCAGUCGCUUAUUUUAUUGAAGGUUUUGAGGGUUUUGAAUAAAUGGCGGGUUCAAAAAUCCUCAAAACCUUCUACAAAACAAAGCGACUACUACGCAGGUUAGCUUUGCUGUACCAUUAUAUUCAUAUACAAGUAUUUACGGAAAUCUGUCUGGUUCUACAGAAAAACAAUUCAAAGACAGUUCCAUGACACACAACGUCUUAUUCCUUUUCAACUUGUUCGCGUGUCAAUUUCUUGCCCAGCGAUCCACCAGGAUGGUUAUGCAGGAAGUCAGUUUUUGUGAACUUUCUUCUCGCCAUCAAUUCACAUUCAAUCGCAUUAACAAUCAUCUCCUAU